AGCAGCCGCGGUAAUUCCAGCUCCAACAGCGUAUAUUAAAGUUGUUGCAGUUAAAAGCUCGUAGUUGAAUUGAGGGAUUGACGUGACGGUCGUGCCUUACGGGGUAUGAAUGAACUGUUGCUGUUGAUUUUUCUCACCUUCUGGAGAAACUUGAUGUCCUUAAUUGGGUGUCUUGCGGAUCCAGGACCUUUACCUUGAAAAAUUGAGUGUUUAAAGCAGGCAUUUUGCUCGAAUACAUUAGCAUGGAAUAAUAGAAUAGGACGGCAUGGUUCUAUUUUGUUGGUUUCUAGGAUCACCGUAAUGAUUAAUAGGGAUAGUUGGGGGCAUUAGUAUUCAAUUGUCAGAGGUGAAAUACUUGGAUUUGUUGAAGACUAAUUACUGCGAAAGCAUUUGCCAAGGAUGUUUUCAUUAAUCAAGAACGAAAGUUAGGGGAUCGAAGACGAUCAGAUACCGUCGUAGUCUUAACCAAUAAACUAUGUCGACUAGGAAUCAGACGAUGUUAAUUUUUAAUGUU
rnacentral:misc_RNA from 1 species